GGGGGGGGGCUACAGUUAGAUAAUAUUCUGGUCAGCACAUUCGAUAAACUACAUGGAAUUCAUUAAAUCACUUCUUUUUCUUUCAGUGGUCUUCAACUUUUAAUCUCCAAGAAGGAAAUGUAAUUAAAAGAUGAAUAAAGUAUCCCUAAGAAUACCAGAAGAAAGGCUAUGUGUUGAGAAAAACAGCCCUUCCUCAGUACUUCAGAACUAGAUGAUAGCCCUUAAUUGUUACUUUAUGCUGAAUAUGACACAGUAUAGAAGAUCUGACCAUGAAGAAGUAACACCAUUGAUACACUUGCCAACUGCCAAAAUUACUUUCUGAUAGUAUGACGAGAUUAGAAGAUAUCAUGGUGUAGUCAUGACACAAACUGCAAAUCAAAGAAUUAAUUGUCUUCCCCAGAGGAUGAACAGAGCACGAUGGCUUCACAUGGAUAACAUUUCCUUUCGAGUUUUGAAAUUAAUUUGUCAGAAUGUUAUGCAUCGUUAUCAACAGAAAAGAACUUCAUAGGUAGACCAAAGCUGACAUGGGAUGAGAUCCUAGAACAAGACCUAGAGUUUACAGGAUUGGAUAGGAUCAAUCCACUGGGUCGCCAAGUGUGGAAGUACAAACUUCAACCUCGACAGGACAGCCAGGCCUCACCCUUGCAAAAAGAUUAAUUUGGCCUGGAUAGUCAAAAUGAGUGAUGAUGAUUGAUAUCAAGGUCUGACACUGGAAGCUCAGUAAGGGUAGAUGCUGGCAAUGGAGCUGUUUAGCAACAAAACAAACAAGUUUAACAUUAAACAUGUUUGUAUACUUUUUUGGCUCACCUGAGCCAAAGGCUCAAGUGAGCUUUUCUGAUCACCUUUGCCUGUCGUCUGUCUGUUUAUAAACUUUUCACAUUUUCAUUUUCUUCUCCAGAGUGAACCACUGGGCCAGUUUCAAUCAAACUUGGUAUGCAUCAUCAAUAGAUAAAGGGUAUUCAAGUUUGUUCAUAUAAAGGGUCAUGCACCCUUCAAAAAGGAAAUAAUCAUGGAAAUGCAAAAAUAGGGUGGGGUCAUUUAAAAAACCUUUUCAAGAACCACUGGACCAGGAAAGUUUAAUUCACACGAAAGGUUCCUGUUUUGUGCAAAUCAUGGUCUCUGGGGGUAGGGUGGGGUCACAAUAGAGAAUCAAAGUUUUACAUUCAUAUAUAGUGCAUAUUCAAGUUUGUAAAAAGCUCACAGGGGUAGGGUGGGGGUCACAAUAGGGGAUUUAAGUUUUACAUGUGAAAUAUAUACAAGGAAAAUCUUUUAAAAUCUUCUCCUCAAAAACUAGAUGCAGAACCGUAGCUCUUUGAAAAGAGAGCUUCAGAUGAACCCCUUAUAAAAAAAACUUCAAUUUAUGGCAGAGAAAAAAAGGGCAUGUUUAAGUCCCUCUAUCACUGCAUUCCUGCAUCUCUGUCUCAUGAAUUUAAUAUUAAAUAAUUCCCAACAUAUUUUCCCACUAUACUUGUUUCCAAACAUACUUUCAAAUAUUUUCUAAACCCACAUAUAACCCCAAAACAGCUUCAAGUGAUUUCAAUUUCUUUGUUGAUGUAGCCAUGUUAAGUAGCCAGUCAAUUUGAACCCCAGUUCAUUUCCAUACUCAUACUCAUUUUGAAACAUAAUGUCUGUGUGAACUAAUAUCCUCACAAAUAUUUUUAGUGAAAUAUUUUGGAUGAAAUCAUCCCAGUUGGGUUAAAUACUUAUUAUUCAAAUACUGUAGGUUUGAAUAUUGAACUAAUCUCACAGCUUUCUUAAGUUUGGUCCCCAUCCCCACCAGUCUGUUUUUACGCUUAACUAUUGAAAUGGAGUGUAAGGGAUCAGACUAGGCUUUUAUAGCAUUAUCAAUUUUCAAAAGCUUUAGAAAAAUUAUACAAUUUUAGGUCACUUGAGUAAACUCAGAUGACAUAUUGCUAUUGAUCUGCAUCUGUUGUAGUCCGUCGACAUUAACAAUUGAACAUUUUUAACUAAAUUCUAUAACUGAAAGAUGAAGAUACCGCACAGCAAUCAAUCUACGAUUCAAAUAACGAAAUUCUUUUCAAAUUUAGUAUGAAGCACACAAAUUUACAUUAAACCUUCUUGACAUAGUGCAUAUUCAAGUUUGUUAAAAUCAUUUCCCCGGGAGUUAUGGUGUGGUAACAAUAGGGGGUCAAAGUUUUAUAUGCUAGCUGAUAUAAAGGAAAAUUCUUUAAAGAUAUCUCUUGAACUAUUUAAGCUAGGGCUUUCAUAUCUUGUAUAUACAAUUUUUAUGGCAAAACAAAUCUGACCUAUUCAGUAUGUCCUGAACUACAUUGUGUUUAAGGUAGAUCUUUCAUAUAUAUUAUAUAUUAUGAAUUUCUUAUGAUAAAACCUUUCAUCUUGUUGAGGAGCCUCUCACCUCUGGUUGGCGCGGGUUUGAAUCCUGCUCGCACCGGUAAUUGAGAAAGUUUCCCAGUUUACUCUCGGAAGGUCGGGGGUCUCUUCCCAGGUACAUUGUAUCUGGGUUCUCUCUUCCACCAAUAAAAACUGGGCACCACCAGAUAACUGAAAAAUUGUUGAGUGUGGCGGAAAACAGUUAAAACAAUCAAUCAUAUUAUGUUAUUUGACCUUGUGACCCUGAACUUUAUCCUGUUUGACAUACUUUUAAGAAAGUAUAACAUAUUAAGUAUAUCCAGGACUAUUUUAGAUAGGGAUUUUAUGUUUUGUAUAUUGAUUACUUAUGGCAAGGUCUUUCAUAUCAUACCAAGACCUACGACUUUUUACCUUGGUCUUAUCCAGAACAGCAAUAUCAUGCUAGUCAUAUCUUUGUCUUAUAUGAUUUCAUUUUAGUAAUGUUGUGUUCUUUAGAGCUAGGUUUGGGUCACAUUAUUCAUGAGAAUAAAGAUUGAUAAAAUAGCAUUUAAGAAUCAAAAUAGCAGGGCCAAGAUGACUCAGGUGAGCGAUGUGGCCCAUGGGCCUCUUGUUGAUUUUGAUAUUUCUACCUAUAUCAUUUGUAUGAGAAAUGGAACUCCUUUUUUUCUUUUACAAAUACAUGUAUUAUCAUAUGGAUCCAUCUUUGUUGAUUAUUUAAUCAAAGGACAUAUUCAAUUCAAUCAAUGUAUUAAAUGUAAAUUUAUGGAUAUGUCUGUGGUUGAAUUACUUAUGUAUGUAUGUAUACAUUUUUCUCGCACAUGCAAUUACAUAUAUGAUGUAUAUAUAUUUACUAAUUGUACAUGUAAUAUCCCCUGUUAUAUAAUAAAAUAUAUGACUGAGAAUAAAA